AUCCCGGGCGUUGCCCUCAGACCCUUUCGUUUCCCAAAGCUCAUUCACCACACUCGGAGGAACAAAGCCAAACAAGUCCCCUGAGAUGGCCGCCGGAGCUGUAACGCUUGGCCUUCCUCUGCCCUCUUACCGCCUCUCCACCCCGUUCCCGCCGUCAGCUCCAAGACCCCGCAAUCUCUUCCCAAAAGCCCACCGGAGGAGACCAUACCUACGUCCCAUCUCGUCUUCUCUGCUCGAAGGCGAGCAGCAGCUCUCCUUCACCGAGCCCGAAGCUGUCCUCCUCGAAUCCCUUCUCGGGAUACAGGGUAGAGGCCGCGCCGCUUCUCCCCAGCAGCUCCAGGAUGUCGAGCGUGCCGUGCAAACCCUGGAGAGUCUGCAAGGUCUUCCUGAACCUACAAGUUCCAGUCUGAUUGAAGGUUGCUGGCAACUGAUCUUCACUACAAGACCUGGAACAGCAUCCCCAAUACAAAGAACAUUUGUCGGGGUUGACUUUUUCAAAAUCUUUCAAGAGGUUUACCUUAGAACAGAUGACCCAAGGGUAUCCAACAUUGUGAAAUUCUCAGAUGCAAUUGGUGAGCUAAAAGUAGAGGCAGCAGCAAAAAUCAAAGAUAGAAGACGCAUCCUUUUCCAAUUUGACCGUGCAGCAUUCUGCUUUAAAUUCUUACCUUUCAAGGUUCCAUACCCUGUGCCAUUUAGGCUUCUUGGAGAUGAAGCAAAGGGUUGGUUGGACACUACAUAUUUAUCCCAUAAUGGAAAUAUACGUAUUUCACGAGGGAACAAGGGUACCACAUUUGUGCUGCAAAAGGAAACCGAACCAAGACAAAGGUUGCUAUCAGCCAUAUCUGGUGGGACAGGAGUAACAGAGGUGAUUGAUGAACUUGUAUCUUUAAAUCCGGAAGAGGUUGCAGAUGUAUCAGUAACUAUGGAGGGAGAAUGGCAAUUACUGUGGGCUUCACAGAUGAAAAAUGAAAGCUGGUCAUCCAUUGCUGCUAAUGGUCUCAAAGGUUUACAGAUUGUAACAGUAGAUGGACGACUGGAGAAUCUGGUUGACCCAUUUCCAGGUUUCAAAAUUAGUGCUAAUGGCAAUCUUAUCAGAAUAUCCAACAGCAACAUGUACAUUGUCACGAUGAAAGAUGGGGCUGUUUCAGUUGGUACCUUAAAAUUCCCCCUGGAUAUUAAGAGCGAGUUUCGCAUGGAAUUGCUCUAUAUCGACAGAAAGAUUAGAAUAACCCGAGGUACUGAGGGCAUACUAUUUGUCCAUUUGCGCCUCGAUAGGAGACUGUAAGUAUGAAAAGAGGAGAAAGAGCCAGCAUAUUACCACCGAAGCUGUUGCUCAUUUUCUAGAAGUGUAUGUAUGACCGUCAGUUUGCCAGUUCAACUUCCCUGGUUGUCAUGAAUAUUACUAUCAAAUACUUGCUCUGAUCUAAUUAGCAUAAUACCAAGGCUUCUUUGCUACUGGCUUACGAAAAGGAAAGCCGCAUCAUCAAUCUAAGGAGUUGGUCAGCAACAGUUGCUUGUGCUGCCUGGGAUCGAUGCUAGACCUGAUCUAAUGGACUCCAGGUGCUGCCCAUUAAAGUUUUUCCUAUAUUAGUUGCUGGCUAAGAACAUACUCCCUGACCAUCCUCCAUAUCCCAAGCUGGACUGAAGUUAUGAUGUCUAAUCCAGUUCACCUGAUACAAGGAUGAGCCAGAUUCUUCACCUGCAGCUCCACAAGAUCUUUCUUUAGAUAUAAAGAAAACGUAAAAGAUGUGAACCCCCUGCAGGUGUAUAACUGUCAUUAAUUUUCUAUUAGAUAAAAAUGUUCUCUUUUUUAUCAAAUGCUCGGCUUGCUGUUGGGUUUACACUUUCUUCUCAGUUUGAAAAAAAAUUGUGAGACUCAUUUUCUUCAA